rfam:Rattus norvegicus chromosome 14, whole genome shotgun sequence.
CCUGGAGACAUGCUCCGGCCAGUCCUCCCGGUCGCGCGCCACGGUCGCCAAGACCAGACAGACGUCAGCUCGGUUCCCACCUCGCUACUCCCCAUCACCAUGCUCGCCCAAAGCGCGAUGGCGCCGGAUUGCGAACCAGUAGGUAAGGACCGAAGGCACAGCCGAACUCUAACAAAAGGAGGA